rnacentral:rRNA from 1 species
UACAGAGGGUGCGAGCGUUAAUCGGAUUUAUUGGGCGUAAAGGGUGCGUAGGUGGUAAAGCAAGUAGAAUGUGAAAACCCUGGGCUUAACCUGGGAAGUGCAUCCUAAACUGCUUAACUAGAGUAUGGUAGAGGGUGGUGGAAUUUCCUGUGUAGCGGUGAAAUGCGUAGAUAUAGGAAGGAACACCAGUGGCGAAGGCGACCACCUGGACUGAUACUGACACUGAGGUGCGAAAGCGUGGGGAGCAAACAGG